UACGUAGGGUGCAAGCGUUGUCCGGAAUUACUGGGCGUAAAGAGCUCGUAGGUGGUUUGUCGCGUUGUUCGUGAAAACUCACAGCUCAACUGUGGGCGUGCGGGCGAUACGGGCAGACUUGAGUACUGCAGGGGAGACUGGAAUUCCUGGUGUAGCGGUGGAAUGCGCAGAUAUCAGGAGGAACACCGGUGGCGAAGGCGGGUCUCUGGGCAGUAACUGACACUGAGAAGCGAAAGCAUGGGGAGCGAACAGG
rnacentral:rRNA from 1 species